rnacentral:rRNA from 1 species
UGGGGAAUAUUGCACAAUGGGCGCAAGCCUGAUGCAGCCAUGCCGCGUGUAUGAAGAAGGCCUUCGGGUUGUAAAGCACUUUCAGCGGGGAGGAAGGCGUUAAGGUUAAUAACCUUGGCGAUUGACGUUACCCGCAGAAGAAGCACCGGCUAACUCCGUGCCAGCAGCCGCGGUAAUACGGAGGGUGCAAGCGUUAAUCGGAAUUACUGGGCGUAAAGCGCACGCAGGCGGUCUGUCAAGUCGGAUGUGAAAUCCCCGGGCUUAACCCGGGAAUUGCAUCUGAUACUGGUCAGCUAGAGUCUUGUAGAGGGGGGUAGAAUUCCAUGUGUAGCGGUGAAAUGCGUAGAGAUGUGGAGGAAUACCGGUGGCGAAGGCGGCCCCCUGGACAAAGACUGACGCUCAGGUGCGAAAGCGUGGGGAGCAAACAGG